rnacentral:rRNA from 1 species
UACGUAGGGUGCAAGCGUUGUCCGGAAUUAUUGGGCGUAAAGAGCUCGUAGGCGGCUUGUCGCGUCGGCUGUGAAAACCUGGGGCUCAACCCCGGGCCUGCAGCCGAUACGGGCAAGCUAGAGUUCGGUAGGGGAGACUGGAAUUCCUGGUGUAGCGGUGAAAUGCGCAGAUAUCGGGAGGAACACCGGUGGCGAAGGCGGUUCUCUGGGCCUUACCUGACGCUGAGACGCCGAAAGCGUGGGGAGCGAACAGG